UAAGGAAUAUUGGUCAAUGGGCGGAAGCCUGAACCAGCCAUGCCGCGUGCAGGAAGACGGCCCUACGGGUUGUAAACUGCUUUUGUACGGGAAUAAACCUUAGUAUGUAUACUAAGCUGAAUGUACUGUAAGAAUAAGGAUCGGCUAACUCCGUGCCAGCAGCCGCGGUAAU
rnacentral:rRNA from 1 species